GCCACUGUGGUGAAAUUGGUAGACACGAGGGACUCAAAAUCCCUUUCUCGCAAGAGAGUAUCGGUUCGAGUCCGAUCAGUGGUA
rnacentral:tRNA from 1 species